CCCUUAGAUGUCCGGGGCCGCACGCGCGCUACACUGAAGGAAUCAGCGUGGCUUUUUCCCUGACCCGAAAGGGUUGGGAAACCCGUUGAAUCUCCUUCGUGAUAGGGAUUGGGGCUUGAAAUUGUUCCCCAUGAACGAGGAAUUCCCAGUAAGCGCGAGUCAUAAGCUCGCGUUGAUUACGUCCCUGCCCUUUGUACACACCGCCCGUCGCUACUACCGAUUGAACGGUUUAGUGAGGGCCUCGGAUUGGUCUCGGCCCGCUCUUUACCGGGCGGCGCCGUUGGUCGAGAAGACGCUCGAACUUGAUCGUUUAGAGGAAGUAAAAGUCGUAACA
rnacentral:rRNA from 1 species